rnacentral:rRNA from 1 species
UUAAGUGAAUAAGGGCGUACGGUGGAUGCCUAGGCACUUGGAACUGAAGAAGGACGCAACAAACGGCGAAACGCGACGGGGAGUGGUACGUACACAAAGAUCCGUCGAUAUCCGAAUGGGGAAACCCGGCAGCAGUAAUGAGCUGUCACCCAUGAGUGAAUACAUAGCUCAUGAGGGAGGUACCCGGAGAACUGAAACAUCUAAGUAUCCGGAGGAAAAGAAAAUAAGAAUGAUUCCGUAAGUAGCGGCGAGCGAACGCGGAGGAGCCCAAACCAGAUCUUGAUCUGGGGUUGUAGGACCACGAAAUGGCAAGAGCAUGGCUAAGAGAACGGCAUUGAAAGGCCGACCGGAGAGGGUGCAAGUCCCGUAACUGAAAGUCUAGCGAAGCCUAGUGGUAUCCUGAGUACGGCGAGACACGAGAAAUCUUGUCGGAAGCAGGCGGGACCAUCCGUCAAGGCUAAAUAUACCCAAGUGACCGAUAGUGAACCAGUACCGUGAGGGAAAGGUGAAAAGAACCGCGGGAGCGGAGUGAAAUAGAACCUGAAACCGUAUGCUUACAAGAAGUCAGAGCCCGUUAAAGGGUGAUGGCGUGCCUUUUGUAGAAUGAACCGGCGAGUUACGUUAUCGUGCGAGGUUAAGUAGAAGAUACGGAGCCGAAGCGAAAGCGAGUCUUAAUAGGGCGACAGUACGAUGAUGUAGACCCGAAACCGUGUGAUCUAGCCAUGACCAGGUUGAAGUUCAGGUGAAACUGAAUGGAGGACCGAACCGACCCCCGUUGAAAAGUUGGCGGAUGAGUUGUGGCUAGGGGAGAAAUUCCAAUCGAACACGGAUAUAGCUGGUUCUCCCCGAAAUAGCUUUAGGGCUAGCGUCGAGGUAGAGUCGCAUGGAGGUAGAGCACUGAAUGUACGAUGGCCCCAUCCCGGGGUACUGAGUAUAAUCAAACUCCGAAUGCCAUGAUGACGUACUCGGCAGUCAGACUGUGGGUGAUAAGGUCCAUGGUCAAAAGGGAAACAGCCCAGACCGCCAGUUAAGGUCCCAAAAUGUAUGCUAAGUGGAAAAGGAUGUGGGGAUGCACAGACAACUAGGAGGUUGGCUCAGAAGCAGCCAUCCUUCAAAGAGUGCGUAACAGCUCACUAGUCGAGUGACCCUGCGCCGAAAAUGUACCGGGGCUAAGCAUACUACCGAAGCUGCGGAUUCAACUUCAGAGUUGAGUGGUAGGGGAGCGUUGCAUGCACGUAGAAGCCGUACCGUAAGGAGCGGUGGAGAGCAUGGAAGAGAGAAUGCCGGUGUGAGUAGCGAGAUGUAGGUGAGAAUCCUACACACCGAUAGCCCAAGGAUUCCAGGGGAAGGUUCGUCCGCCCUGGGUAAGUCGGGACCUAACGCGAGGCCGAAAGGCGUAGUGGAUGGAAAACAGGCAGAUAUUCCUGUACCCGCGAUGGAAAUGAAGGAAUGACGGAGAAGGCUAGUGUGAGCCACUGAACGGAUUGUGGUCAAAGCAUAUAGCAGGCUGACAGUGAAAUGCGUCAGCGGGAUGUAAGAUGUGACAGGUAAGGGAACGUCCUUGGACAAGUACUGAAGCACAUGAUGCCAGCUUCCAAGAAAAGUUUCUAGUGAUAAUUCCAUAGCGGCCCGUACCAAAACCGACACAGGUGGGCAAGGAGAGAAUCCUGAGGUGAGCGAGAGAACUGUUGCCAAGGAACUCGGCAAAAUGACUCCGUAAGUUAGCGAUAAGGAGUGCUCUUGUAAAAGAGAGCCGCAGUGAAGAGGCCCAAGCGACUGUUUAACUAAAACACAGCUCUCUGCAAAGUCGCAAGACGAAGUAUAGGGGGUGACGCCUGCCCGGUGCUGGAAGGUUAAGAGGAUUUGUCAUCCGCAAGGAGAAGCAAUGAAUUGAAGCCCCAGUGAACGGCGGCCGUAACUAUAACGGUCCUAAGGUAGCGAAAUUCCUUGUCAGGUAAG